CACAGCCUUACAUAUACAGACGCGAAAGCAAAAAGGUCUUCACUACCGGUGUACGAUAACAUAUGGUUGAAACCAUAGAAAUUCGUUUAUUUACGAUUUGAAUUUAUGCUUAAUUAGACUUUUGUUUCGUGUCGUGACCCAUAUGCGAACUAGCAUUACCAACCGUUACGUUUAAUCGGACAAAUCCGAAAAGUACCGAGAGAGAGGCAUGUAUGGAAUAGCUAUAUAGGCGAAGAAGAGAAAAGGAAGAAAGGAAGGAAGGGAAAAAAGGAGAAAUAAUAAGUUCUCCGUUUGAAGUUUCAAAUUUUAUAUAGUAUAUAGAAUCCGGACUGUAUACUAUGUAGUGUGUAAUGUGUAGCUACCGACCACCAUCUGUCGUCCGACUAUAGAUACUAAUCUUCAGUGGUGAAGAGAUAAAGGGCGAAGCUGGAGAUGGCGCUUUGUCUUAGCCGCCCCUUGGCAUUCCUUCGUUCGAGGCAACUUCAACCCAGGAAUUAUAAUCACCCCACGGUAUCCUCCGAAUAUUUAGACCUUCGUAGACAAUUUUUACAGCCGGGAAGAAGAUUAUACCAGGGAGAAAGAAAGAAAGAUAUGUACAAAGAGAAAGAGCGAGAGAGAGAGAGGAAGAGAGGGAACAGGAGGAAUGAAGCAGAAUCGACCUGAACCGUGGAGAAAGAGAGAAGGGAACCAGGAGCACCUGCGCGUUCCGCCUUCGACCACAUUCUUUGUGAUUUCCUCAAGAAAAAUAGCUUGGAAUUCUCGGCUACUUUCGACUCAAUAGAAUCGGAAGAAGUGAAAAUAUGUCGGAGGAAUCACGGACGCAGUUACUGCACACCGGUUCCAGGAAACAUCGUCGGAUUGGAACUUUAAGUGGAUCUUAGAGAAAUGAUGGAUUCCAGAUUACGACAAAUACUACAUCAUCGACGACUUUCUUUGUUCUUACGAUCUGGUCCAGAGGUAUCUUUCGACCUCGUCCAAAAAGAGAUACUGACAAUCACGUACAAAGAGCUAUCCUGACAUGAUCGCAAUAUUAUUCAUUACGGUUCUGGGGUAUCGUAUAGUUCAUCUCGCACACAGUGGUAUGCCUAAACCGUACGUGACACAGGUAGCGAAUUUUUCGUGGACCAAAAUUUCUUCUUUUUCAGAAAUAUUUUGCACAGACUUUGUUGUCUCACUGUGCUUUCAUGCCACUUUAAUUAGAGAAUGAAUACUAUACAUAUAUCCCACUAUAUAGUAAAUUACACGUGUAAAUUAUCAAUAAAAUUUUAAGCACAAACCUAGAAAUCUUGGAAUGCAUACAUGCCACUUACAAAUAAUUUGAAUUUCUCUACUAUCCCAAUUAGAAAUUUACGAACAUCUUAUUCAACUCUCAUUAUAUACGAAAUUAAAUAUGUAAGUUACCAAUGAAAUUUUAAACACAAGUUUACGAAAUUUUGAAUUCAUAUACACCACACAGAUUUAUUUAUAAAUAAUUU